GUGAGGGGCAUGUGAGGGCUGUCGCUGACUCAAAGUCGUGCACGCCCGAGUGUGUCCUCUCACAUAAUAAUCCAUCUCACCCUUUGUGCAUCGCCGCGUGAGCACCCUUUGGGAUCAUCUCGGAGGGGGCUCGCGUUUUCACACAAACCCCCCUUUUAAAAGUGUAGAAUGACCUCAUUUAUGCGCUAACACGCAAUCAAUACAACUUUCAACAACGGAUCUCUUGGCUCUCGCAUCGAUGAAGAACGCAGCGAAAUGCGAUACGUAAUGUGAAUUGCAGAAUUCAGUGAAUCAUCGAAUCUUUGAACGCACCUUGCGCCCCUUGGUAUUCCGAGGGGCACACCCGUUUGAGUGUCGUGAAAACCUCAACCUCCUUGGUUUCUUCUGGAGACCAAAGGCAGGCUUGGACUUUGGAGGCCCUUGCUGGAACCUCUCUCUUUUGAAGGCCAGCUCCUCUUAAACGAAUUAGCAGGGUCCUCUUUGCCGAUCCUCGACGUGUGAUAAGAUGUUUCCAUGUCUUGGUUUCUGGCUCUGUCACUUUUGGGACCCGCUUCUAACCGUCUUGACCUUGCAUCGAGACAAUGUUCGAGCAUGUCUCCCUUCUCGGGAAGCUCCCUCGACCCCACGAACCCUUGACCUCAAAUCGGGUGAGACUACCCGCUGAACUUAAGCAUAUCAAUAAGCGGAGGAAAAGAAACUAACAAGGAUUCCCCUAGUAACUGCGAGUGAAGCGGGAAAAGCUCAAAUUUAAAAUCUGGCGGUCUUUGGCCGUCCGAGUUGUAAUUUAGAGAAGCGUCUUCCGCGCUGGAC
rnacentral:rRNA from 1 species